CACAAUAAGACAGUCCGAUACCCCAUACUCUCUGAGCACUCCCCACAGGACUUCCCGAGGGACACAGUCGAAUGCCUUCUCCAAGUCCACAAAGCACAUGUAGACUGGUUGGGCAAACUCCCAUGCACCCUCAAGAACCCUGCCGAGAGUAUAGCGCUGGUCCACAGUUCCACGACCAGGACGAAAACCACACUGUUCCUCCUGAAUCCGAGGUUCGACUAUCCGGCGUAGCCUCCUCUCCAGUACACCUGAAUAAACAGUCUAUAGUCUAGUGCGGCUAAUAUUUCGAAAAAGUAUUUUUUCUUCUAAAAUGUUGUGGGUGCGGCUUAUAUACCGAUACGCUCUAUAGUGCGGAAAAUACAUUAAGUUAAGUAAAUAUUAUUUUGGUAAGUUCGUAGCUGUUAAGUAAGUAGCAUCUAAUUAUUUAAGUAGGACGUACUUGAUGUUGGGAACCUCACAUGACUUUGGUCUUGAGCUCGGCAGAGGAAACUGUGGGCGGGGAAAACCACAUGUCAAGUACUUUGUGGAGGAGCAGUGCACGUUGGCGUGAGCCCGAGAAGCUCUCACCUUUUUAGCGUCCCAGGCUUUGAGGAGCUUGUUGUCAUCGAGAACGUUCUCCUCGAUGGGGGGCACGGGAUAAGGAAAGACUGGGGGACAAGAGCGUGCACGUGUCAGUGUGGCGUUGACCGGCUGGCUGACCUUUGAUCGGCUUUGGGUCGGAGUGGGUCUCACCGUUGCGCCGGCCUCCAUGGGACGUGAGAGCGGAGUCUCCAGUGGCAAAGGGAUCCCCCGAGAGUGGGUUCAUGACGCUGGUGUGGAGGGCGGAGUCAGAGUUGGUCCUGCAGAACAACACACACCUUUGCCGUUAGUAAGCCAGACAAUCCAGUCGACCAAUCACGGGGCUCCACCCCGGACGCAGUUACCAAGUCGCGCGCGUUGGUUGGUUCACACAAACUUACCUUUGUGUAGCAAAAGGAAGGGAAAAAAGUGAAGAAGAUUGAUUGGCGCAGACUGAACGAGAAAGAUGGAGGAAAAGGAGGAUUCACCUGUUGAGUGCAGUGGUGGGGAGACGGAACAACUGGCUUUUGUCCCCCGGGAAGAUUCCGGACCAAUUCCUUUUCAUGAUCGACAAGAAGAAAACGUUAUUUUCCUGCGCCCGGCAAGUGCAGGAAAAGAAAGCAAUCACUAAGAGCGAGGAAGAGGAGGCAGCGUCAGGAAACAUGAUGAAGGGAGAAAGGAAAAAGUCCCAAGAAGCGACUGGACGCCAUGGAGGUGCGUGCCCGUGCAGCCAUGUGCGGACGACGCGGCUCUGGUUAGAAAGCGCCAGAAGGAAUGCAGGCAAAUUCCCACAAGGAGGGAAAAGAGGAAGUGAGAGCUCCUCCAAAGUAAUGCAGCUUCCUGUCUUCCAAGCUAGUGUGUUAGCGCUCCAAAGCAGCAAGACGGAAAAGCGUGUGUCCGUGAAGACGCAAAGCAGCAAGAUCAUAGACUCUACCUUCUCCAACUCGGGUCGGGGGGCGGGGACAAGUAGGCGGAGUUAUAUGAAGUGCUGUCCACCUGAGGCUGGCGGUUAAGCAAACAUCCAGCAGACUGUCAAAACAAAAGUCAACAAAAAGGCGCAGCUGCUGAAGGAUACUUGGCGGUUACGGUACGGCCGAACUGGCGACAUGAAGCGACGGUCCCUCUGGACCCUUUCCACCAGGCCGUGAUGACGUGUGGAGCGACUGGACUCCAGAUUGGACGUGAAGGAGGCCUGCGCAAGGAAAGAAAUGAAACCCAAGACAGAGUGAGACCUCCUCAAUACACUGCACAGCGUGAAAAAGUGCUGGCGAGGACCGACGCACUCACCUGCGGGUCCUGCGGGACUCGGCCGAUCUGGUUGACGUUGGGCAGGGAUCCUCCGUAGUACGGCCCUUGAUUCCGGGCUAGGCGGAGCUUCUGGGCCUGAAGCUGCUCCAGGAGAACACGACAGGUUGGUUCUCCAACACAGUGGAAGCAACAGUUUGCAAUAAAAGCACUUUAUACCGUGUUGUAAGUAUGCAGUACAUCGUGGGAAGGUAUCAAAUGAAAACUUGGUGAGUGUAGUUUUUUUCUGUGGUUUUUACAGUCUAAAAAUAAUCCACAUAUCCCAAAAACCUCUGCGCAGCACGGGACCGGCAAGGUGGGGGGGCAUGGGACGCCGUAAAGAGGAGAAAAAGAACAGUCAAACCUGGAGAAAACAUAAGCGCACCACCUUCGUCUCGAGCGCUUGCAAGCCGGUCACAGUGCACGGCGUGGAGGGGAGAGCGCCCAGUCGGAGCGCAGACACUACACACCCCGCGGGGAAUACGAGAAGCUCCCUUGAUAAACCAUCACCCGGAAAAUAUAUUUGAAGCCAGCGAUUUCUGAGGUCAUGUGCUGACACCACUUUCGCAAAGACGUCCCAGCCCACGCCGCCACGGUCACAUCUUGAUGAAGAGCACGGCGGUGACGACGGCGAAGCCCAGCAGCGCCACGGCAACUUUGGUCACGCGGCCACGCCCAUGGCCGAGCUCGUGCGGCAGGAUCUCCAUGAAGGUGAUGUAGAGGAAGGUGCCCGUCGCCACACCCUGCAGCGUGUAACAAGCCAGCCGCCCCUGCAAUGACGUUUCGCUCUCCGAGAGGCCGAUGCCCAGGCCGAUGCCCAGCGGCGCCAUGGCGGCAAAAAUGAGCAGGCAGGCGACGACCAGGGAGCGUCGCAGGCGUCCGUGAGCCAGCGUGAAGGCGAGGCUGAGCGAGAUGACGCUCUUGUGGAUGGCCAGAGCCAGACACACCUCCAGGACCUCCUGGCCUUGUCCCAGCAGGCCCACCGCAAGACCCUCAAAGAUGGAGUGCAGUGACAGCGAAAACACCAGCACGAAGGCGCGCAACGUCGACGGCGGUGCAGAGUCGGGCUCCUCCUUGGCGUGACGGCGCUGGGGGGGCGGCGCCUCACCGACACUCGCCUGCACGCUGGAGUUCUCUAGCAGGCCUUGCCUCUCCUCAGCGUGGGCCCACGACUGUUCCUUGAAGGCAAGAACCACCUGCUCCAGGACCAGAACCAAGAAGAAGCCCAUGGCCACGAUGAACUCGGGCAGAGGAAACUGCAGCUGCACCAAAAGAAAAAGGCCAUUAACAGGCUUACAGCUCAUGAAAACAAGAAACGCUAACAGAACAUGCCAAUGUCAACGCUAACACAAUAGGCUAACCGUAAACACUAACAAAACAUACUGUCAACGCUAACAGAACAUAACUCAACACUAAUAUAACGUCCCUUCAAUCAUAACAGAACAUGCUAACAGUAAAAGCUAAUAGAACAUGCCAACUGUAAGCGCUAACAGAACAUGCUAACUGUAAAAGCUAAUAAAACAUGCCAACAGUACACACUAACGGAACAUGCCAACUGUAAGUGCUAACAGAACGUGCUAACUGUAAACACUAACAGAAUAUGCUAACCGUAAAUGCAAACAGAAUAUGCUAACAGUAAGCAUUAACAGAACAUGCUCACAGUAAACGCUAACAGAACAUUCUAAUUGUAAUUGCUAACAGAGCAUUAAAACAGUAAACGCUAACAAAACAUGCUAGUGCAAACGCUAACAUAACAUGUUGUCUGUAAACGCUAAGAGAACAUAACUGUCAAUGUUAACAGAAAAAGCUAGUAGUAACCAUAACAGAACAUGCUAAAUGUAAA